ensembl:lncRNA
AUUAAUUGUAAAUGAGUAUGAUGGGACAAAUCUGCCGUAUGAGAGCUAAUUCUCUUAUUCUCGGUUGGAUUAGGGUCUUGAGCCCUGGUGGAGGUGGUGGUGGAGUUGGAGGUUGUGAAAUAUGGAAUAUUGAUUGAGUUAAUCAGCUGUUAAUAGAAGGAAGACGUGCACAGAAUAACUGAUUAAGAUCAAGAUAUUAUGUUGGUAAACAACACUUACAUUCUGUCCGCAUCGGCAAAUUCAAACAUGAAUACACGCAUCACGUUGACAAAUGUCCCGAUAACAGGAAGUGUGCGGGAUAAUCAUCUAAAAAUAGGCCUAGGGAUAAAUGGAAGAAACUCCUAAAAAACUAAUUUGCACACAUCAUCCAACAAAGCCAUGGAUAAUGGUUGGAGAGUUGCACGUUGCCAGGCCUGGUCCCAGUGCAUGUAUUGCUAAGCGGCGUGAUGGCUCAGUACCCAUCGAGCUGCACAAAGGGAUUAGAACCCCCAUCCCCCUUGUGUCGAUGACGGAAUAAACAUGCUGUCUGUGGUGUUUAUCCGGCGCACUAUCGUGACUAUUUCAGUGUUUCAUCAAAGACACGUUAAUUAUUUGGGAGGUGGAGAAACAUCAACAAGCAAAUCCACCCCCUCAAGGUUCUGGAUAGCUCCCCCGUGGAGGGUUAGUCAAUAGAUGCACGCAGUAAUUAAGAUAAUAACGUUAAAAAACACACAAGGAAAUAUCAUGCCAUCGCUCUCUCCCAUCUUUCCAGUCACCAACGGUCUCGUAAUUAUGAUGAUGCUUUGAUUGGCUUUAAUUAGCACCGUGAGUUAAGGGUAUGGCUAAGAGCGGUGGGAUUCAAUGGGCUUCAUAACGAUUACUGGAUCCAGGAGGCAUCUGUCUGUCUGAUGAACAACCUCAAAGCACAGCGACAUAAUUAACCGUAAACGUGACAUGAAUCAUCCGCUCGGAUCCGCUUGAAGUAAAAUUGAAAGUUUGAAACAUGGAUUGAUGAGCGGAAGAGGGCGGUAAGGGGAAAUGGAGAAUGAGAAGGAGAUACAGGCCUUCCAUAGGCGAAGGAGACGAGGAGAGGCUGGUAAAUCAAUGCAGAAGAGUUAUUGUAGGUCUAUGGAGUGGAACAGAGACCUUUCAUAUCCGAUAAGCCUGCGCUUCGGUCGUCACCACGGCAACCACGUGGUCUGGAGUCUUGAGUCUAUCGCAUGAGGAAUACAAAGUGAAUUGAUUUGAUUGAAUGUUGUCUCCGGUUAUUUCCUUAUUAAUUAUUCAGCAGCUGAAUCUGUGAGCUGAAUAUAUUUGUACGAAGAGACAUGCCUGUUGCGGGUUGAGAAAGAGGUCUUCAGGCCUCGACUGGAAGCUAUUGAGUAACUUUAGACCUUUUUUUAACCUAUUUAAUUCAUGGCAUCUUCUUGAAUAACCCUCCAUUGGAUUUCCACUUUUAAUGAAAGUGGAUAAAAUGAAGGAUGGGCUUCAGUAGUGAUCACUGCCUGUCAUGAACAGAGAAGUAAUUCUGUAUUCUGAAAUGUGAAAAGGUUCCCUGAACAAAAGCCUCACCCAACAUGGUAACAAGUUGUUUCCUGUGUGGACAGGAAAGACAUGUCACUCAACCAAAACAAUGAAGGACUGACAACAAUGAAUCAUCUUUAGAAAUCCUAAGAAAGAGGGGAAAAUAAAUAACUGCUCCAGCCCCAUCGUUCCAAAUACUUUGAAUACUAAUUAUUAAUUUCAGAUGACAAUGAAGUGCUUUGUUUUGCUGAUAAUGCGGUGGGGUGGUGGGGUGUAAUCCCGUGGUCGUGGGUGAACUAGACUCAAAGAAAAGGGAGCCUAGAUGACUUCCCUCAGAGCCUUGAACCAAAGCACUUUCAGAGAGUAGCAUUCUUACAAACGUUCUGAUAUGUUAAAUACAAAUAUUACAUUUUCUGAAUACGUGUCACUGACUCAUUGCCAGAUAGAAAUACAAACACUGACAAUUUAUUAUGACUAUUAAAGGGGAACUAUGCUACUUUUUUGGAUUAUUUUACCUUUAUAUAACAGGGUAAGAGUCAUUGUAAUGCUUCUAUAACACUUUAUGGGUCGAUUGGUCGCUAUUUCGACUCCCCCUAGCACAUCUUGGCGGAAAAAGGGAAUAUGCAAGUUUCUGCCAGCGACCCGCUGCCCACUGUCGCGGGAUUCUCGGGUCUCACGAUGCACCAAAUUGCUUUAUGGCAAUACAGACCCACAAACACGGAACCGGCUCGAUAUAAACGAUAUAAAGUGGCGAAGGGAUUUUUACAUUCAUCAUGGAUCAGCCGACUAAAAAGAGACAGAGAAACCCAAUGUCGGAGAAACAGAAGAAGAGAAAAGGGACACUGACCGGCAGAGAGGCCAGACACGAGUAAACGUUGGCCGAGCUUCUCAAGAAUAGCGUGAACUGAAAGAAAAAGACUGCAAAUCGGAUGCCAUGUUGCAACUUGCCAUGGCCGUGUUGCUCUUGAAAUUUUACAAGCGUUGGCAAACAGCAUUGUAAUGAGGCUUGAGGCUUGAUGACCCAAGACGGCUUGCUUGCCUACCCCAGUUCAGCAACCACCCACAUCCAAACUUGUGUGGGUACAAGUGUCACGAGGAAAUCGAGAGAACCCUCAAAAAGAUGUUACACAGCCGUAAGGCAAAAAACAAACCAUGAAGAAGGAGUUUGUUUCACUUGCAUUUCUUUCAAUAUCCAAAAUAAAUAUUUAUUUUGUUGAAUAAGUGUGUAUUAUUGAACAAAUGAAAGAAAGAUGGUGCAAACCUCUGUUAUUUAAAAAAAUGGAAACAUUUUAAUACCAUAUACAAUAAUAUUUAUUGCAUGCAUGCAUUUACACGUAAACAUGUGUCCCUAACCUUCCAGACUCAGCAGCAUCUGCCUGUGACAACUCUCCUGCGGGGACUAGCAACAGCAUACCGUCUCGAUCUCUGAAUCCAUUUCCCUGUAAUUCCGUACACAAGUGACGUACUUCAGCAGAUACAUAAAUGUACGAUUAGUGCGCAAAUUGUUCAUGCUAUCGUUAUGUAUUAUGUUAUCCAACACUCUUACAAUGAUCCUUCUGUUCAACAACCAAAGAUAAAACUAUUCUAAUCUAGGAUAUAACCUCUCCCCGUCAACUAUAAAAAAGGAUGGGUUUAUUGUAACACAUACACCAUUUCAAAAUGUAUAACCUUGUCUACGCUUUUUUUUUCUUUUUUUUCUACCUCGGACAUGGCUCAACGCAUUCGCCGGUCUGAGUACCAAAUGUGUUCGGCUGCCAGAUCCAAGUAUGGGAGGAAGUUCGCCCACUUUACUGAGGAAGGAAAAUCAACCCUCCGAGACAAUGUCCCACCUGUCUUCAGGAAAACGAAACUAAAAAGAACACUUUCAAGCUGCACAGUGAUGCCAUUGGACUCUGACGAGGACCAUGCUUACAAUAAGAGGCCUUACAGCUUUCCCUCUAAGGAGAUGGGCAGUGGAGUUACCAUGGACAAAGAUGUCUUCAGCUUCAAAGAAGACACAUCUCUCAUUUAACAAACCAUUAAGUCAUUUAUUGGUACAGGCUUUAAUAAUUAAAAUACUUUUGGUAUGGAGCUUUUUAUAUUCUAAGGUUUAUGCCAAUAUUUGGAGGUGAGAACAUGAUGCUACUGCAUUUAAAGUCUCUAGUGCAAUCUGCUGUCUUCACCUGUAGCCAAUAUGUAUCAUCACAAUGUUCGAGUUGUGGCUUACGACACACACAUCUUUGGAUUUAUUGGGCGCUUUUCAAUACAAUAAUAAGGGUCCAAGUACUGAUUCUCUGUUGCCACUGGUUUACUUUUAUUUCUUUUCUAGAUAGGAAUAGUCUGAAAUGUCUUAACCAUGAGAUUUUUACAAAGCUGACAAAAUUAAUAAAAACAUGCAUUUAACAGAUUUAACAGAGGCUAUGUGGCUUUCCUUAAGGAGAAGGAGAGGAGAUGCUCUUUGCGUCUGAGUUCAUGAUCCAGGUUGAUCCACAACCAGUCACAACAUUCCUAAAAGCUGUUGUGUGUUAAGCUGCACGCUCAAUAAAAGUUAUUCAAAUGUUAAAACGGUUUGUAAACCUAAGAAAAAGCUGUGAUCCCUUACGAAGGAAACGGUGGAUAAGAAGAGAGGCACCAGGAUCAGUAGCCUACAUGACAAAACUGGAGGAAAACUUUGAGACCCCUAUAUGUGUAGUAGAGGUAUUUGGGUAUGGUCGGUACCGUUUGCAGCAGGCCUAAACCAUAGGUCCAUGGUCUCAACGAGUCGCGUUUUUAAUCCAUCACUGAGACAGAAAGUGGACAUUUAAGAUGUCAAUGGGUGGAUUAUUUUUUAACACAAACAGCUCGUAUGGACAGACAAGAGUCGUGGCUUUAAACAUAGUAACGUGUAUUUGUGAAAGGCAUGUUUUAUUACGUUUUUAUUAAGUUUGUUUGCAUUCUAUACAAAGUGAAUGGAGCUCUGUUUAAAGUCAGUAACGUGUAUUUAUGAAGGCCAUGUUUUAUUACGUUUUUAUUAAGUUUGUUUGCAUUCUACGCAAAGUGAAUGGAGCGCUGUGCAAAGUGAAUGGAGCGCUGUAGCACUGUUUAUUGUUUUCCCCCAUGAUGGCCACCAUAGAACGAGCAAUGGGCGUGUUUGGCAGAGCAAUGGGCGUAUUUGGCAGAGCAAUGGGCGUGUUUGGCAGAGCAAUGGGCGUGUUUGGCAAGUGGCUCCGGCUGCAGAUAGACCUACUUGAAAAAUGCCAAUACAUUGGGAUUGGGAUUUUGUCAGACAUUCUUUUUUCUCAUUUAUUUAUAAAUCCCCAAAUAAUUUAGGCAGGAGCAUCUAUCAGUCAAAAAUGCAUCUCACAUUUACACCUUAGUCAGUUAGUUCAGUAUGGCAUUGCAUGUGGUUUUAGAAAUAUAAGUCUGAGUGUAUGACUACACCAAGAUUUCUGUCUUGGUGUGUGCUUUCUAACAUAACAGCUGUGUACUGACUUUUAAUUGUUCAUCCCUUGCACCAAAGACCAUUACUUCAGUUUUUUCAUUGUUCAAUUGAAGACAAUUUGGCACAUCCAGUGAUUGAAGUAGUUAUUUAGCUGUUGAUAAACAGCUUUUUCAAUGAUUUUGCUUAAAAAUGGUAAGUUAGAAAUGGCUUGAUGACUGUUGUUUUUUCAGAGCCUGUAGGAAUCACCUGUGUGAUAUCGCCACUGCAGGCAACAUGAAUAAAAAAAUAUAUAAUAAUAUACAAAUAUUUCAGUG